rfam:Mycoplasma bovigenitalium 51080 contig00036, whole genome shotgun sequence.
GCGGAUGUAGUUCAAUGGUAGAACUUCAGCCUUCCAAGCUGACUAUGCGGGUUCGAUUCCCGUCAUCCGCU